GCGAUCAUACCAGCAUUAUUGCACCAGAUCCCAUCAGAACUCCGUAAUUAAAAGUGCUUGGGUGAGAGCAGUACUAGGAUGGAUGACCCCAGGGAAGUCCUUGUGCUGCACCCC